AAAUAAGCAUAUCAAUAAGCGGUGGAAAAGAAACCAACAGGGAUUCCCUUAGUAACGGCGAGCGAACAGGGAAGAGCCCAGUAUGAAAAUCUCCAGCCUUUGGCUGGCGAAUUGUAGUCUGGAGGAGCGCUCCCUGGGUGGGUGCUGGCCGAAGUAUACUGGAAGGUAUCGCUAUAGAGGGUGAGAGCCCCGUAGGCCAGUUAACCCGUCCUUCACGGGACGCUUUCAAAGAGUCGCGUUGUUUGGGAAUACAGCGCUAAUUGGGUGGUAAACCCCAUCUAAGGCUAAAUACCAAUGGGAGACCGAUAGCGAAAAAGUACCUCGAGGGAACGAUGAAAAGACCGCUGGCAAGCGAGUAAAAGAGUGCAUGAAAUUGUGUAGCGGGAAGGGAUGGCCUGGUAGCAUGCGCCCGGGUUGAUGUGGUUCGCAAGAGCUGCUGUCUGCACUGGGUGCUGGCUGGUACCGGCGCCCUUGGCCGUACAAUACUCUGCUGAGGUGCAGAGCACUGCGGGCGAGGGUGCCGAGGCUGAUCAGUUGCUUUGCCCCUUCGGGGAGCUGCUCUGACAGGGUACCAGCUGAAACCUGUCCAUCUGCCCGCGG
rnacentral:rRNA from 1 species